rnacentral:rRNA from 1 species
UACGACUACAUAUCAGGCAUAUCAAUAAGCGGAGGAAAAGAAACUAGCAAGGAUUCCCCUUAGUAACGGCGAGUGAAGCGGGAAGAGCUCAAAUUUGAAAUCUUCAAGGUUCUACCUUGACGAAUUGUAGUUUAAAGAAGUGUUUUCUGUUAGAGGAGUAGCAAAAGUUCCUUGGAAUAGGGACAUCAUAGAGGGUGAGAAUCCCGUAUUUGGUUAUUCUUUCUAGCUUUGUGAUACACUUUCAAAGAGUCGGAUUGUUUGGGAAUGCAGUCCAAGAUGGGUGGUAAAUUUCAUCUAAAGCUAAAUAUUGGCGAGAGACCGAUAGCGAACAAGUACCGUGAGGGAAAGAUGAAAAGAACUUUGAAAAGAGAGUUAAACAGUACGUGAAAUUGUCAAAAGGGAAGCGUUUGACACCAGUGUUGUUUAGUUGAAAAUCAAUUCAAUAGUUUUUGAUUCUAAGUAGUAUUGACUUCAUCAGCUUGCUGCUUUCUUCUCAGAAAUUAUUGAAUGCACUUUUCAGUUAACAAGUCAGCAUCAAUUUCUUUUGUUGUAAAAGGGUAAGAGGAAGGUGGCUUGCGCUUCGGCUCAAGUGUUUAUAGCCUUUUAUCUCUGCAAUCGGAGAGAUUGAGGUCUGCAGCGUAGAUCCUUCGGGGUUAGAUACAUUGGUGCUAAGCUAUAGCCUUGUAUAGACAACUUGUUGACUAUGCUCAGUCAUGUAGCUUACUCGCUGAUGCUAUUUUACCUACGCUUAGGAUGUUGAUCUACAGAGCGAGAGU